rnacentral:rRNA from 1 species
GACGAACGCUGGCGGUGUGCUUAACACAUGCAAGUCGAACGGUAAGGCCCUUUCGGGGGUACACGAGUGGCGCACGGGUGAGUAACACGUGAGUAACCUGCCCUCAUCUCUGGGAUAACAGUCGGAAACGGUUGCUAAUACUGGAUAUGAGCCUGCAAGGCAUCUUGUGGGUUGGAAAGAUUUUUUGGUUGGGGAUGGACUCGCGGCCUAUCAGCUUGUUGGUGAGGUAGUGGCUCACCAAGGCUUCGACGGGUAGCCGGCCUGAGAGGGCGACCGGCCACAUUGGGACUGAGAUACGGCCCAAACUCCUACGGGAGGCAGCAGUGGGGAAUAUUGCACAAUGGACGGAAGUCUGAUGCAGCAACGCCGCGUGCGGGAUGACGGCCUUCGGGUUGGAAACCGCUUUCAAUUGUGACGAAGCUUUUUGUGACGGUAGCAGUAGAAGAAGCACCGGCUAACUACGUG